CCCUUAGAUGUUCUGGGCCGCACGCGCGCUACACUGACGAAGUCAGCGAGCAUGUCCUACGCCGACAGGUGCGGGGAAUCUUGUCAAACUUCGUCGUGAUGGGGAUUGAUUAUUGAAAUUCUUGAUCAUCAACGAGGAAUUCCUAGUAAGCGCAAGUCAGCAGCUUGCGUUGAUUACGUCCCUGCCCUUUGUCACACCGCCCGUCGCUACUACCGAUUGAAUGGUUUAGUGAGAUCUUCGGAUUGGCGCCACUGCGGCUCAGCAAUGGGCUCGGUGGAUGCCGAAAAGUUGAUCAAACUUGAUCAUUUAGAGGAAGUAAAAGUCGUAACA
rnacentral:rRNA from 1 species